rnacentral:misc_RNA from 1 species
AAGUCGUAACAAGGUUUCCGUAGGUGAACCUGCGGAAGGAUCAUUACAAAUCAUGGCGAACCUCGCGUUUCGCGGGGUCUUGCGUCCAUUUUCGUAUUUAAAACAUCCCACUCUUUAAAAAAAUAUUUAUCUAAUGAUAAAAAUAAAGAUCACUUUCAACAACGGAUCUCUUGGCUCUC